GGGUUGUUAGCUCGGUUGGUAGAGUAGCGGACUCUUAAUCCGUUAGUCGAGAGUUCUAGCCUCUCACGACCCAUCA
rnacentral:tRNA from 1 species